UUGCUUUGGCAGCUUAUAUACUAAAAUUGGAACAAUAAAGAAAAAAUUAGCUUGGCUCCUGUGCAAAGAUAAAAUGCAAAUUUGUGUAGCUGUCCGUAUCUGA
rnacentral:snRNA from 1 species